AGUGAACGCUGGCGGUAGGCCUAACACAUGCAAGUCGAACGGCAGCACAGUAAGCGCUUGCUCUUAAGGGUGGCGAGUGGCGGACGGGUGAGGCAUACAUCGGAAUCUACUUUUUCGUGGGGGAUAACGUAGGGAAACUUACGCUACUACCGCAUACGACCUACGGGUGAAAGCAGGAGAUCAUCGGACCUUUCGCGAUUGAAUGAGCCGAUGUCGGAUUAGCUAGUUGGCGGGGUAAAGGCCCACCAAGGCGACGAUCCGUAGCUGGUCUGAGAGGAUGAUCAGCCACACUGGAACUGAGACACGGUCCAGACUCCUACGGGAGGCAGCAGUGGGGAAUAUUGGACAAUGGGCGAAAGCCUGAUCCAGCCAUACCGCGUGAGUGAAGAAGGCCUUCGGGUUGUAAAGCCCUGUUGUUGGGAAAGAAAAGCAGCAGGUUAAUCCCCCGCUGUUCUGACGGUACCCAAAGAAUAAGCACCGGCUAACUUCGUG
rnacentral:rRNA from 1 species